rnacentral:rRNA from 1 species
UACGAAGGGGGGCUAGCGUUGCUCGGAAUCACUGGGCGUAAAGGGCGCGUAGGCGGCGUUUUAAGUCGGGGGUGAAAGCCUGUGGCUCAACCACAGAAUGGCCUUCGAUAUUGGGACGCUUGAGUAUGGUAGAGGUUGGUGGAACUGCGAGUGUAGAGGUGAAAUUCGUAGAUAUUCGCAAGAACACCGGUGGCGAAGGCGGCCAACUGGACCAUUACUGACGCUGAGGCGCGAAAGCGUGGGGAGCAAACAGG